rnacentral:rRNA from 1 species
GAAUCUUGCGCAAUGGCCGAAAGGCUGACGCAGCGACGCCGCGUGCGGGAGGAAGCCCUUCGGGGUGUAAACCGCUGUCACCGGGGACGAAGGUCAUGGGAGCGAACAGCUCUCAUGUGUGACGGUACCCGGGGAGGAAGCGCCGGCUAACUCCGUGCCAGCAGCCGCGGUAAGACGGAGGGCGCGAGAGUUGUCCGGAAUCACUGGGCGUAAAGCGCGCGCAGGCGGACUCGUGCGUCGGGAGUGAAAGCCCGGGGCUCAACCCCGGAGUUUGCUUCCGAUACGGCGGGUCUAGGGACCGGCAGAGGCCGGUGGAAUUCCCGGUGUAGCGGUGGAAUGCGUAGAGAUCGGGAAGAACACCAGUGGCGAAGGCGGCCGGCUGGGCCGGUGAGCCCUCUUUCGGGAGGGUGUCCGACGCUCAUGCGCGAAAGCGUGGGGAGCAAAC